CUAAAAAGUUCUGGGACACUGUGAAGUCCAUGGAGAACAAGAGCACCUCCUCCCAGCUGCCCACUGCACUGAGGCUAGGUAACACGGUCACCACCGAUAAAUCCAUGAUUAUCGAAAACUUCAACAAGCAUUUCUCAACGGCUGGCCAUGCCUUCCGCCUGGCUACUCUAACCUCGGCCAACAGCUCCGCCCCCCGCAGCUAUUCGCCCAAGCCUCUCCAGGUUCUCCUUUACCCAAAUCCAGAUAGCAGAUGUUCUGAAAGAGCUGCAAAACCUGGACCCGUACAAAUCAGCUGGGCUUGACAAUCUGGACCCUCUAUUUCUGAAACUAUCCGCCGCCAUUGUCGCAACCCCUAUUACCAGCCUGUUCAACCUCUCUUUCAUAUCGUCUGAGAUCCCCAAGGAUUGGAAAGCUGCCGCAGUCAUCCUCCUCUUCAAAGGGGGAGACACCCUGGACCCAAACUGUUACAGACCUAUAUCCAUCCUGCCCUGCCUAUCUAAGGUCUUCGAAAGCCAAGUCAACAAACAGGUCACUGACCAUCUCGAAUCCCACCGUACCUUCUCCGCUGUGCAAUCUGGUUUCCGAGCCGGUCACGGGUGCACCUCAGCCACGCUCAAGGUACUAAACGAUAUCAUAACCGCAAUCGAUAAAAGACAGUACUGUGCAGCCGUCUUCAUCGACCUUGCCAAGGCUUUCGACUGUGUCAAUCACCAUAUUCUUAUCGGCAGACUCAGUAGCCUCGGUUUUUCUGAUGACUGCCGUGCCUGGUUCACCAACUACUUUGCAGACAGAGUUCAGUGUGUCAAAUCGGAGGGCAUGCUGUCCGGUCCUCUGGCAGUCUCUAUGGGGGUGCCACAGGGUUCAAUUCUCGGGCCAACUCUUUUCUCUGUAUAUAUCAAUGAUGUUGCUCUUGCUGCGGGCGAUUCCCUGAUCCACCUCUAAGCAGACGACACCAUUCUAUCUACUUCCGGCCCGUCCUUGGACACUGUGCUAUCUAACCUCUAAACGAGCUUCAAUGCCAUACAACACUCCUUCCGUGGCCUCCAACUGCUCUUAAACGCUAGUAAAACCAAAUGCAUGCUUU
rnacentral:lncRNA from 1 species